rnacentral:tRNA from 1 species
GGAAGGUUGGCCGAGUGGUUUAAGGCGUUGGUCUUGAAAACCAAUGUGGGCUUGACGCUCACCGGCGGUUCGAAUCCGCCACCUUCCGCCA